AGUGGAAUUGCUGGAUCAGAUGUUAAUUUAGCUUUUUGAGGAACCGCCAAACUGUUUUCCACAGCAGCUGUACCAUUUGACACUCCCAUCAGCAAU
rnacentral:pre_miRNA from 1 species